UAGUUAACUUGUGAGCCCAGCUGCGUCUCUGCUGUUUGCUGUGUCAGAAGCACGAAGAGUAGCAGGAGAAGUGGAGAGUGAGCGGUCUUCAUUGCAGCAGACACAAGUUGGCAGUUGUAUAGUCGAGUUUUUGUUGCUCGUUGUCAUUCCUUAUCUCUCACUGUUACACCUUCACUAAAUAACUUGAUGUGGAUGCUUAAAUGAGUGGAUGGAGUUUUGUUCAUGUCCAUUAUGCAUUGUCAACUUUGCACUGUGGGCAGGUGGAGAGGACAGCUGUUGUCUUCACAGUGUUACUUGAUCAUCCUUAGGAAGAGUCCAUCAUUAGAAGUGGUAUACUCAGAGGACUUUAUGUAAUUUAUCAUCGUCAUUGUCAGGAACGUGCAUGCCAGGACACAUGUGGCAGAGGAAAAGUUGACAACCUGCAUGACUCCUGAAAACUUGGGUCUUCAGUUGAAUUGUUUCACCAUUAGUGCUCCUCUGCUCACCAUAAUAAAUACUAUGUAUACGAGGGAAGCAGAAGAAGAUGUAUGAACUUAUUGGUUCUUUCAGCUUAUUUUGGUCCACGCGAAGGAUGGUCUCCACCUCCUAAAAUUCAGGCAGUCUUUACUGCCUUAACCUUCUGAGUUAAGAUGCCAUGAGAUAUUCAUGUACAAUUGAAAGCUGCUGUCCAGUUGACACCAACUCACAUACACUAGAGGACUUCCCGGUCUGUGUUCAUUGGGAGAUGAUACACCUAACCCUCAAGAGACUUGAGGCCCCAGUGAGUUUAGAGGUCAGGUAGGAUGGGGGUGGGGAGGGCAGUGGGAGGGUCAUCCACGUGGAGACGGGAGUGGGGAAGAGGUAUGAAAAACAGUCAGAGGGUGGAUGGGGUGAGGGGAAUAAAACAUGAAAUGUAAAACAUAAAUUAAUUUUAAAAAUAAAUUUUAAAAAAUUUAAGCAUUUUUAUUUUCCUCACAGACCUUUUUUCUCCUCUCUUCUCAUUAGGGGUUUUAUGAGAGAAUAAGCAAAUGUCCUAGUAUCACUGUGUGUUAGUGAAAUAAUUUACAUUUUAUUCCUUUAGAAUGCUACUCCUCUUUUCACCAUUGGUUAUAACUGAGAAAAUAGUUAAUCAUUUCUCUGACAGAACUCCAUUUGUUCUUUUUCUCCCAUGUUAUUAUCUCAGCUCUUCCUAUGCACUCAUGCCCUGGGCCUGCUAAUUACCAGAGGCAUAUUCUGAAUUUUGAACAACCCAUACUCUGACCAUAUCUUCAGUAGUACCUGCAACCACAAGUGGUUCCUGAGUUUCAGGGGAGUCUAAUGUGUGUUGAUGCUACUGGCUUUUCCUUGCCUCCAUCCACACCUCCUCACAGUCGGAAGUUCCUUCUGCCUGAGAUGCUCUUUCUCUUUUGCACAUUCCCUGAGUUUUCUGAGUU